rnacentral:tRNA from 2 species
GCCGUCUUGGUGCAGAAUGGUAUUGCAGCGGUCUUGAAAACCGUGGUCCGCAAGGGCAUGUGGGUUCGAAUCCCUCAGACGGCG